AAAUGUAUUAUUUCUGGAACAACUUAAUUGAAGUGAAGCUUACUAUGUGAAGGAGUUAUUUCUGUAUUCAAAAGGAAACUUCAGCAUACAGAAUACCAAUUUAGAUAUUUGUAGCUUCAGUUAUGGGAGUACACAAGAUUAAUUGAACUGGAAUCCCUUCAGACGUUGACAUAGCUAAAUUUCGCAGUUUCAACUAUAAAUGGACAUUAAAUUAAUAUACAUUGGUUUUAU